CAUCUUAGUGGCGGACGGGUGAGUAACGCGUGGGGAACCUGCCCUGUACAGGGGGAUAACACUUAGAAAUAGGUGCUAAUACCGCAUAAGCGCACAGGGCCGCAUGGCCCGGUGUGAAAAACUCCGGUGGUGUAAGAUGGACCCGCGUCUGAUUAGCUUGUUGGCGGGGUAGGGGCCCACCAAGGCGACGAUCAGUAGCCGGCCUGAGAGGGUGGACGGCCACAUUGGGACUGAGACACGGCCCAAACUCCUACGGGAGGCAGCAG
rnacentral:rRNA from 1 species